CACCUGAUCAGCCAACCAUGGGUUUAUAGUUGAUACUUGUUGGUCUCUGUGAGCUUUAUGCUUACUGACAGUCCCCGAGAAGGCUUGAGAAGCAGCUGUCCACAGUCACAGAGGAGUUAAACCUUCAUUAUGUCCAAACAAAGGAUUGUACGCCUGGAAUGUGGGAAACCUAACCAGGCAAUUUAUGUGGUGGGAACUGUGCUCAACAUCGACAUUUACAAGCCGGCACCUCUAGGAUCCCAGUUCUUUGAAGUGCGCUCCAGUCCUGGUGUCAAAUGUUCCAUUUUAGAUGUACAUAAUAUGACUGUUGCAGCUGAUCAGGCAGCAAGGUGGACCCUGAACAAUGGGACCUUGCUUGUGGUCACAAUGGAAGAAAUAAGCAAACAUGUUGAUGAUAA